CAGAAAUAAAGGGAAAAGCCCUGAGGUAAAGGGUAGGUAAAGAGAAACCAGUUAAUUUAAGUUAAGGAAAAGAAAGCUGGAAACGAGUCUAAGCUAGGCCGGGAGUUUAAAACUAAUAAGAAGUCUCUGUGUCAUGAUUUUGGGAGCUGGUUGGUGGCCCUAGAAUAAAAAGCCUGGUACCCUAACUAGGUAUCAGAAUGUAAUAAAUUUUUAAAAUCCACUCCAAACAGAAGGAGCAUGUGUUAGUAGCAGUAGUGUAAAAUUAUUAUUUCAGUAGUCUUAAAAAAUUUAGGUACUUAUUUUCUGUGUGUGUGUGUACUGCCUGCAUCUGUCUGUGUACCAAGUUCAUGCCUGGAGCUUGUGGAGGCCGGAAAAGGGAUUUGGUCUGCUGAAACUGGUGUUACAGAUGGGUGUGAAGCACUGUGUGGGUGCUGGGAAUUGAAUCUAGUUCUUUUGGAAGAGUAGCUAGUGUUCUGAACUGCUGAUCCAUCUUUCUCCAGCCCCAUGAAAUUAAUGUUGCAUGAGUAACUUGUAUUUUUCUUUAAGUAGCAUGCCUGCUAGGAUAAGAAACCAAGCACAUUCUCCCUUCUCUUAGAUUUUCCUAAGAUGGUGUAUUGUAGCCAUCAAUAUUGUUAUCAUCAAUAGCAUUAUUAUUGAACUAAUGAUCACAUCGUCUUUCUUUAUUCACACAAAAGUAAUCUUUAAUUAAAAAACACAGUGCUAAGCUUCUAUUAAAAAUUCAAUAUAUGUGUGUGUGCGCGCACGUGCGCGCUAAAAAUCUCACACUGACACUUCCUUGAGAUUUGUAUGCAUUUGCUUCAUACUAAAACAUGAGGUGCUCGUUACCCAUCUUUCACGGGAACUUCAAGUACACGGCUGUUCAGAGGCUUUGUUUUUGAGGCUUAAGCUAAGUUAUGUUGACUUGUUUUACAUAGAAUCAAGAGAUUAUGUCUUUUAAAAGGACAUCUUAUUAAGUAAUUGAAAAACAAAACCAAACUAAACCACUGCCAGUUAUAAAGGCAGUUAAUGAAUUUAUAUUUCGUGUCUUCAUAUAAAUGGAAUGCUACGACAUGCGUACUGUGUGUGUUCCUUUGAGUCAGCCAGUCGUUGAGAUGGCCCCUUAGGGGAUGAUCUUAGCUCUUAUCAAUGACUGGAAAUCUGUAACUUCCCCAGACUGUGACUUGAAGUCUGUUUUACUAUCAGUUUAUUCUUUGGUGCUGGCUCCCUCUGUAGAACUUCACUAAUACUGCAGCUUGAUUUUUCAGUAAUGUAACAACAAUUAAGUUAUUAUGUAGACUAGAUUGGGACCUUUCCUUGAAGUUUUAGUUAAUACUUAAUCAGUUUCAUGUGACAUUUUGAACAUGGAGUCAUCCCUCAAGCCCCCCCUUUUUGUUGUUGUUUUGUUUCUUAAUGUUUACCAUUAUGAAAAUACUUCCCACAGUAAAGGUCCCCCAAUCCAUGCAAUAAUGCAUUAACUUGUAUUAUUCUUGAAAUUGUUUUAUGUUAGAAAUUGUUUUAAUGAGAAAUUAAAAAUAUUGCCUAAAUAUCACAAGUAAUGUAAAUCCUUCACUUUGGUUGCUCUCUUUAUACUUUUUUUUAAGCAGAGAACAACAAAAAAGUUUUCCUACAACAUUUCAAUCAACCUUCUUUAUAAGUACUUCUUACUUUAGCAACCUCUUUGUAUCAAGUUUACACAGUUACUGUAGCUGCUCUUUUGGGUUAAGCUAUUUAAAAAUGAAUUUUAAGAUUCUCUAAUCAGAUAUAUUUUCUUUUCUUAAAUAUGUUAUUCUGGGCUUUGAAUGUAGCUCAGUGAUUUUGAGUGCUUACCUAGCCUUUGCAAGGCUCUGUGUGUGUGUGUGUGUGUCUGUAUAUCUGUGUAUAUGUCUGUACAGUGGGUAAGAGCAUAAACAUUUUAGGUAUUGGAACUCUCAAAAGCCGUGGGAUUUGCUGCACCCCUAUCAGAGAGCUCCCUCCUGCAGUAGAUGGGACUUAACAGAGAGAUCCACAACUGGACAACACACAGAGCGGCGACAGCGAUGCCAUGACUGUGGUCUUUACAUGUGCUGCCGAGGCGAGGAGCCACUGUGCUGCUUCAUUGUUUACUGCGCUACCCUUUUGCCGUCAUUUUGGUCGUCAUCCGUCUCUUCUAGAAGAAUGUAAACUUCAUGCUGUUUCCCUCAUCAACACCAUGUUGUGCAUACAGUGGAAGACUUGCAUAUCUAAUUAUUUGUUAUACUCUAACUGAAUAAUUAUGGCAAGUUGGUCAAAAGGAAAUUAUUUAACUUUUCCCUUGAGUUGAGAUUUACAUAAUGAUGAUGAGUAUCCUGUACUUUUAAAUCUACUUUUCUGAAAUCUAUUAAUAUUAUUAUUUGUAGUGCUUGGGCCUUUUGAGGGCCAGCAAAUAACUCUACCCUGGAGAAACAACCCUUCUCCCAUAAUGCUUUAAUAUUGAUGGCUUACAAGGUUUAUGUCACUGGAAUUUUUGGAUUCAAAGUAAUGCUAAUAUAUCCACUUUCUCAGAGAUUUUCAGUGUUGACCAAGGUAUUGAUUCUUGUUAGAAAUGUUGGUAAAACAAGAAUUUAUGACUAGUUGGUUUGUAUGUCCUUUACAAUUCUAUUGGUAUAUGUUUGGGUAGAUUGUUAAAAAUAGCUUUUUUCUAUGUGUUUAAAAGGCAGUUUGGUUUAGCUAAUUUUUGCUUGUCAAUAAAGCUGAGAAUUUUCUGUUUU